rnacentral:lncRNA from 1 species
UUGGGCGAUGCCCAUUAGAAGCCUUCGGUGAUAUUGACGUCCAUGCCCCAUUUUGCUCAAAAUUUGAGUCGCCCUUUUUGGGUUUUCAACUCAAAUCCACCUUUGGUCACAAAGCGCUCUUUGCGGGUUUUCGCCUUGGCCUCUCCUUUUUCUGUUCUUUUUCUUUCUUUCUUUUUUAUUUUUUUCAUUUUCUUUUUUGGAUUUUG